UCCCUGAAUAUUCCCGGACCUGGCAGAAGGGAGCAAGUCAUAAGAAGAUCUAUACGAAGAAAAGAAAACUUGUGCAGAGGGACGGAUGGAGGAAGAUUCAGAAGGAGUGGGAGGAGGAGACGACAAAGGCUGGCUAGAAUUUUUCUGAAAUUUCUUGGGCUCUUCUCCUUUGGCAAGUAAAUACUCCCAGUUUGAGGCCUGCUGGCUUGCAGUAGCUUUUGGCACAGUGUCAGGAGCUAUGCACCAUUACGCUGAAGCACACUAAUUCUGUUGGUUUUGCAAGCAGUUAAGAGCUGGUCAUGCUUUAGCGGCCUCGACAAUGCCUGUUUGCUUUGCUGUCAUUUUUUUCUUGCAGCAUUUAGAGCUCUGAGAAGCACAAGCAGCCAGACCUACUUGCACAGCCUGCAGAUUUCUCCC